rnacentral:rRNA from 1 species
GAUGAACGCUAGCGGCAGGCCUAAUACAUGCAAGUCGAACGAGAUUAAGAGGCUUGCUUCUUAUGAAAGUGGCGCACGGGUGCGUAACGCGUAUGCAACCUACCUUAAUCAGGGGGAUAGCCCGAAGAAAUUCGGAUUAAGACCGCAUAAAAACACAGGAUAGCAUUAUCCAAUGUUCAAAUAUUUAUAGGAUUAAGAUGGGCAUGCGUGUCAUUAGCUAGUUGGCGGGGUAACGGCCCACCAAGGCGACGAUGACUAGGGGAUCUGAGAGGAUGACCCCCCACACUGGUACUGAGACACGGACCAGACUCCUACGGGAGGCAGCAGUAAGGAAUAUUGGUCAAUGGAGGGAACUCUGUACCAGCCAUGCCGCGUGCAGGAAGACAGCCCUCUGGGUCGUAAACUGCUUUUAUUCGGGAAUAAACCUUUCUACGUGUAGGAAGCUGAAUGUACCGAAGGAAUAAGGAUCGGCUAACUCCGUG